rnacentral:lncRNA from 1 species
GGCAAAGAGCUAUUCUAUACUAGGUUAGGUCAAAUAAAAAUAUACGUGUGGUUCCAGUAACCCAAUGGACUCGAGUUAAAACCCCUUGACCCUAGAACUUUUUUCAUUUCUGAAAUAUAAAUUUUCAAAUGAUCAAAUUUUGAGGAUUGUAAAUUAAAAUAAUUAAAUUCAGAUUUCUGUCAUGUGAAUUGUCAUCACAAGUAUGUGUUAUGGCUAAAAUGCAACAAUUCAUAACAG